CGCGGUGAAUACGUUCCCGGACCUUGUACACACCGCCCGUCAAACCAUGGAAGCUGGGUGUACCUAAAGUCGGUAACCGCAAGGAGCUGCCUAGGGUAAAACUAGUAACUGGGGUU
rnacentral:rRNA from 1 species